GCAAGCUUCUUCCCCUUCUUCCUCCUUCUCUCUCUAGGGUUUUUCUCUCUCUACGCGGAAGUCGCCGUUUUGCGCCGAUUGCGCGUCCCGAUCAACGGUUGCUGGUUAGGUGGACUUGGGGUCGGCUUUUAAAAGCUGAGUUGAGGAGGACUCCAGCAGCUUGAAAGGAGUUGUUUAGCUGUGAUUUAACUACCUUGGAUCAGGGUUAAGCUGCUGCAAAGCUAAACAAAGGUUUUCGAGCCUCUUUGAGCUGAACCUGUGCUCUUGGAAGCUGGUUUAGGAGGAUAUUUAA